rnacentral:lncRNA from 1 species
CAGCGCAGGACUGUUCAGGAUGUUCCCACACCAGAAUACAGAGCUCACUUCAGGUCAAAAAUGCUGAAGAUCRGAAACAUCCCAGGAUACUACUUCAGCCGAGUCUACAUCAUUGGACUAUUUUUACCUCCUCACUAAAGAUGGUCAGAAAUGAAGCAAAAUACAAGUAUGAGGAGAAGUUCUAAAGAUGAGAAGCAUAUAUGGCAGGUAUGCACCGGUACUACCUCC